CAUGCAGACCGGGUGACCGCCGUCCCGAUUAAUCGGGAGGGAGGAAAGUCCGGGCUCCUCUGGGCAGGGUGCUGGGUAACUCCCAGGCCUCGAUUCCGGUCCACUCGACCUGGAUCGGGGACGGAAAGUGGCACAGAAACAUACCGUCCCGACUAGUCGGGAUAAGGGUGAAAUCGGACGGUAAGAGCGUCCGGCCGUUUGCGGUGACGCAGCGGCGGCUAAACCCCACCUGGAGCAAGGCCAAAUAGGGGGACUUAGGCGCCCGGCCCGUCCCCGGGUUGGCUGCUUGACUGCGGCGGUAACGUCGCUCCGCCAAAAGCGGACUUCCGCCGGCUUAACGGCCAGCGGUUGGGCUAGAUAGAUGGUCACCGCCCUCCCUUCCGGGAGGGACACAGAACCCGGCUUAUAGGUCUGCAACGCCC
rnacentral:RNase_P_RNA from 1 species